rnacentral:rRNA from 1 species
UACGAAGGGGGCUAGCGUUGCUCGGAAUCACUGGGCGUAAAGCGCACGUAGGCGGAUCCUUAAGUCGGGGGUGAAAUCCUGGAGCUCAACUCCAGAACUGCCUUCGAUACUGAGGAUCUCGAGUCCGGGAGAGGUGAGUGGAACUGCGAGUGUAGAGGUGAAAUUCGUAGAUAUUCGCAAGAACACCAGUGGCGAAGGCGACACACUGGCCCGUUACUGACGCUGAGGCGCGAAAGCGUGGGGAGCAAACAGG